UAUAUUUUAAAUUUAUAAUAAAUUCAAUUUAAAUAACACUAUACUCAAUCUUGCCAAAGGCAAAUUUGUCUAAACGGUGCCGGUCAACUAACACGCAUUCUUUUCUCUUUUCUCUAUUAUUUCUCAACGCGCGAGUUGAUCCAAAUUGUUUGAAUCGUAAAAAUAUAUUAAAUUGUUUUCCCAACAUGAAGAUAUGCGCAAGUUUGGGCCGAAUUCUAAAAGAACGAAUACAUAG
rnacentral:misc_RNA from 1 species